GAAAGUGGAAUUUCUAGUGUGGAGGUGAAAUUCGUAGAUAUUAGAAAGAACAUCAAAAGCGAAGGCAACUUUCUGGAUCAUUACUGACACUGAGGAACGAAAGCAUGGGUAGCGAAGAGGAUUAGAUACCCUCGUAGUCCAUGCCGUAAACGAUGUGUGCUAGACGUUGGAAACUUAGUUUUCAGUGUCGCAGAGAAAUCGUUAAGCACACCGCCUGGGGAGUACGACCGCAAGGUUAAAACUCAAAUGAAUUGACGGGGACCCGCACAAGUAGUGGAGCAUGUGGUUUAAUUCGAAGAUACGCGCAGAACCUUACCAACACUUGACAUGUUCGUCGCGACUCUAAGAGAUUAGAGUUUUCGGUUCGGCCGGACGAAACACAGGUGCUGCAUGGCUGUCGUCAGCUCGUGUCGUGAGAUGUUGGGUUAAGUCCCGCAACGAGCGCAACCCUUAUUUUUAGUUGCUAAUUUAUUCUAGGUUUUCUAGAAAGACUGCCGGUGACAAACCGGAGGAAGGUGAGGAUGACGUCAAGUCAGCAUGCCCCUUAUGCCUUGGGCUACACACGUGCUACAAUGGUUAAGACAAAGAGUUGCGAGCUCGUGAGAGUCAGCUAAUCUCAUAAACUUAGCCUAAGUUCGGAUUGUAGGCUGCAACUCGCCUGCAUGAAGUCGGAAUCGCUAGUAAUCGCUGGUCAGCCAUACAGCGGUGAAUCCGUUCCCGGGCCUUGUACACACCGCCCGUCACACCAUGGGAGCUGGUCAUGCCCGAAACCGUUUGCUUAACCUUUAUGGAGAGCGGCGUCUAAGGUAGGGUUAGUGACUGGGGUGAAGUCGUAACAAGGUAACCGUA
rnacentral:rRNA from 1 species